UGCUUCACUCGCUUUGCUGAGCUCAUGGUUCACAAACCCGGCGAGGGCUUCUUGUCCAGCGCCGCCGCCGCCUCCCUCACCCCGCUCGUGAUUACUUUUUACUCUACCUAUAUAUAUGCAUGUCCAGAAAUUUAUCUCAUACUUUUUUAAUUAAUUUCCACGUUUUAGCGGUGGGCUGUGAACAAGCUGGUGGAAAGCUAUCUUAAAUGGCGACUUCCCAUCAAAAAAUACGAUAUGGUUCCGACGGAAAGCUUCGUCGGAGAAGCCUCCUCUUGCCAGAUACUGUUCCUGCAGCCUAACUUCUUCGACAAAGUCGAAGAUGGGAGCAUUGUGAUGAGGAAAUCGCAGAAUUUCACCUUCUGCAAAGAGGGUGUAAUCCUCGACGGAGAAGAUCAUGUCCCGUUGCAAGCCGACGUCGUCAUCUUUGCAACGGGAUAUAAAGGCGAUGAGAAGCUCAAGAACAUGUUCGCUUCCCCCACCUUUCAAAACUACAUUUUUGGAUCUCCAACCUCCAUUAUCCCUCUCUACAGGUAAUAAAUUACUUCUCUACUUUAAUGUUGCAAGUAAUAUAUAAUUCUUCAAAUAAUUAAAUAUUGUUUUUAAUUGCAGACAGAUGAUCCAUCCAAGAAUCCCACAGCUGGCUGUGAUAGGCUACUCGGAGUCGCUGUCGAAUAUUUUCACAUUCGAAAUGAGGUGCAAAUGGCUGUCGCAUUUUCUGGAUGGGGGAUUCACGCUGCCGAGCAUGGGAGCGAUGGAGAAGGAGGUGGAGGCGUGGGAGAAAUACAUGAAGAGGUAUGCAGGUAACAAGGAGUUUAGAAGGUCUUGCAUUGGUGGUGUUCCUAUUUGGUACAAUGAUCAAAUAUGCAGAGACAUCGGUUCUUCUCCAAGAAGAAAGAAGGGCUUUUUCUCAGAGUUGUUUCAGCCUUAUGGCCCCAUAGAUUAUCACGGGAUUUAAUUUCUUUCACUUUUUCCAUAUUGUUAUGUUUAACUACUGCUUCCAAUGUCAUGUGCGCACGUGGUUUCAUCGACAUCAUAUAUCAAGUGAUUAAAUUCAACUUUGGUCGACAUCAAAAAAAAAAAAUUCAACUUUGGUCAUUAUUACUUUUAAUCUGUGAGUCAUUACUUCAGACUGUACUAAUUAAUUAUUACUAUUAAAAAUAUCAUUCAAUGCACGCCGAAUCUAUAUUAAUGCUUUCUUGGAACCGUGUGUAAAUUCAAGGGUGGAAGAGAAAAAAAUAGUUUGGUAAUUGGUAUCCCUAGUUUUAAUCCGUGAAAUAUUUAUUAUUUUUGCAUAAAAAAGAAUAAGUUCUACGCAUAAUUAAUGAGCAUGUUGCUUAUUUGAUUCUUAUAAUUCUAAUUUAAAAAAAAAAAAAGAUCCGAUUUCCUCUAUUACAACCAAUUUAUUUGAAUUAAGAAAUCAACUCAACGACGGGAUCAUCCAAGGGGGAAAAAAAAAACUUCAAAAUUAACAAGUAAAUAAAAAAUUUAAAGAUCGUGUUAUGAUGAACUCUAACAUAGAACCUCUAGAUUUGAGUAUUAAUUACUCCAUCCGUCCUCAUAAAAUGUAUUCAAUUUGUCAUAUUCGUCCGUUCUCAUAAAAUGUAUCAAAUAUAUUUUUGGUAAGUUUUUCACUCAUAAUAAAGUCGGACCAUUACUCCACACACAACACAUUCAACUAUUUUAUUAAAACUCGUGUUAUUUAUAAAUAAUUAUUUUUUAUAAGAAGGGAGAGAGUACUAUCAAUCUUCUACUAACUUUUUCGUUUAUGGAGUUGUUAAUUGUAUAAGUUGGUAACACUAACGACAACAUGUGUUAUUACCAUUAUCGUCGGUAAAGAACUUGAUAUACAUUCCAUUAAUUAACUAACUUAUCACCGCCGCUAUUUGAAUUCUGUAUUCCUACUAAAAUUUAUUAUUUCUCAUAACAAAUUAAUAAGAGCAACUUUACAAUUAAGCGCAAUUCAAUUGAUAAGACGAUUUCCUCUAAUUAGUAGGUUAGAAAUUCGAAUCACCAGAAGAAAAGAUGGGAAACCAUUAUCGACCCUCUCUAAAAAAAUAAAAAUAAGAGCAACUAAACUCAAAAUAAAUAAAUAAAUAGGACCAGUUAAUUAAUUGUAUACAUAUUUAAAUAUAAUAGGGUUAACAACAUGUAUAAAUAUAUAGGUGUUAAUAGAUAUAGAGUGGAUGCAAAUUUUAAUUUUUAACUAGCAUUAUUUUUAGAAUUUGACCCAAAUAUAUAUUCCAUCAAUAAUUAAUCUCACGUGUAUGCUAGAAAUUUAUUACGUGGCAUUUCAACCAAUAAUUAAAAUGUUAUAUUUUUUAUGUAAUAUAAAACGAUGUUAUUUUCUUCAUCUUUUAUGAUAUGCUGCAAACAAUAUAGAGUUCAAAGAGCAUGAUAGAGGAACAAAACGACGUUUUUAUGUUGCAUGAAACGUUGCAUUUUAAUUAUCUGAAAUGCCAUGUACGAAAUUUUCAACAUCCACAUAGGAUUAAUUAUUGCUGAAAUUUUAAUUCAGGCAAAAUUGUAAAAUAUUUAAAAGUUCAUGCAUUUUUUUUUUUUUUGAUAAGGAAAGUAAAUAUUAUAGAACGAUAAGGCACCAGUAGUACCAAGAAGAUUACAAAAUCAUCGGGGAUUCAUCAUUCGACAUCCACCUAUGAAACCCAACUCCAUCAUUAACAAAACCAAAAAUUCUACCCCAACUCCACACUCUAGCUUUGAUUUCCCCAAACAAGUUUGCACUCUCCCAUCUUUUGUUCUCAAAUCUACUCUCAUUCCGCAUUUUCCAAAUAAGCCAAGUAGUACAACACCAAAGAGCCAUCAAGAGCUUCUUAUUUCUUUUCCGGCCACUCAAACUAGUAAAGAACUGGAAGUGCGAGUGCACGUCAUAUGGCUGCGCCAUGCUAACACCGAGCCAUUGAAAGAUUGCUUCCCAUACCUUUGAGGUCUUUGGACAGUGGAUCAACACGUGGUUCGUGGAUUCCUGCCGAUGAAAACAGGCGUUACAUCCCACUUCAUGUAUUAAUCUAAUACAAUAAUACAAAUUAUAUGCAUUUAAUUACACUUCAUGCAUUUAAUUACAUGCAAUUAAUCUAAUACAAUAAUACAAAUUAUAUAUCAAAUUAAUAUUUAACUCACAAGUACAGUAAUGACUUUUAUGAGCAUGUUUAUGAAAUAACGAUAAAAUAAAUAGUGUUCAAUAUUCAAACUUAGACUUGCGCGUUUACAUAAACAAAUGGGCCCAAACUUAUUCCGAGUCUCUGAAUUCUAUAUCUCAUAAUCUUGGUUUCUCAACUAUAUCACAUUAUUAAUAAAUUUAGGGUAAAUACCAUACUCCCUCCGUCCCAAAAGCUUGGGCUGAUUGGGAUUUUCACAAAGAUUAAGAAAAAUCAUUGGAAAUAAAAAUAUAUAAGUAAAUUUUCUAGUAUGCCCAUAUUUAUUAUUUAAUGGUGUAUUAAAGUGGGAGUAAAUUAAAGAAUUAAAUAGGGAUGUAAUAGUAAAUGAGUAAAAAAAUAUUACUACUUUUCAUGGAAACAAGCCUAUAUAAAUGGGACAUUCGAAAAAGGAAAACAAGCCUAAGCUUAUGGGACGGAGGGAGUAUUAAAUUUCAAACUAUACCCGUUUUAUAAAAAAUAUUCUAAAUUAUAAAAAAAUGUUUUUAGAAAUUUCAAAAUAUUAGAUUUGUAUCAAAAAUAUCCUACAUUUAUUUUUCGAUCACCGGAAUGUGGCUCGCCGAAUGUCACUGUAAUUUAUAUUUUAUUGUUUGGCACAAAACGAAAACGACGUCGUUUUGUGUUACGUUAGUUGAUUCAAAUCGCGUUGAAAGUCAGUUUGGCGAGCGUGGAUUUAAGUUUUUUCAAAUGACAUGACAAAAAACGCCAUUUUGUGUCAUGUCAUUUACAAAAAAUAAAAUACUAGUAUAAAUUAUAUACGCUAGCAUCCGGUGAGCCACGUCACGAUUUCGGUCGAAAAAUGAACGUAAAAUAUUUUUGAUGCACACAUAAUAGUUUGUGAUUUUUUAAAAUAUUUCUUAUAAUUCAUGACAUUUUUUAUACAGUGAGUAUAAUUUGAAGUUUCAUAUGAUAUUUACCGAUAAAUUUAUUAGGUACGCAUAUGUAAGAAAGAAAAAUGCGUUAUAUAUAUCGAUGUGAAAUUAACCGAAUCUUUUAAUAUCUUCUUCAAGCUGUUGAGCCUAUAAUUUUCUACAAAUAGUAAUUUCGACGUCGACAUUCCUUCUCAAUAUAAAUCUAAAGAAGAAGCUCCAACUUGUCCAUAAAGAAUUGAAGAUGGAGAAACGAGUAGCCAUCGUGGGCGCGGGAGUCAGCGGCCUCCUCGCCUGCAAAUACGCGUCUGCGAAAGGCUUCACUCCGAUGGUUUUCGAAGAGCAAGAUGAGGUGGGCGGGCUGUGGAAUCACACCUUGGAAUCCACCACUCUUCAAAUUACUAAACAUUUAUACGAGUUUUCAGACUUCCCAUGGCCUUCUUCAGUCCCCGAAGAAACGCCUCCCCACAACACGCAACUUGUGGAAUAUCUGCAAACUUACGCCCACAAAUUCCAGCUGUUGCAGUACGUAAUUUCAAAUGCAAAGUAAUCGAUGUUGAUUACGUUGGAGAGUCUGAAAAUGAGAUGAGGAGUUGGGAUUUGUGGGGUGGAGAUGGUAAAGCCUUCGGAUCCAAAGGAAAAUGGAUUCUAAGAGUUUCCCACGCUGGAGAUGACUCCAUCAAGGUAUAAAUUAACACAUUCUUUUUCUUUUUUUUUUAAUCUGAUAAACAUAUGAAUGCAGGAGUAUGAAGCCGAAUUCUUGGUUCUCUGCAUCGGGAGAUUCAGCGGUCUGCCGAAUUUCCCGAGUUUGCUCCGGGAUACGGAGCCGAAGCUUUUUCCGGCAAAGUUAUGCAUUCAAUGGAUUUCUCCAACAUGGAUAAUGCGCUGCUGCUCAAUUCAUCAAAGGAAAACGCGUCGCCGUUAUAGGUGCUGGCAAGUCCGCAAUCGACAUUGCAUUCGAGUGCGCCAAUGUAAAUGGUAAUUAACCUUUUUCACUUGAUUGGUUUUUAGACGCACGUGGUGUUGGAUUCUGUCAAAUUUAAUUGAUUGGGUUGAUUUGAUUUGCAGGAAGAGAUAAGCCGUGCACAAUGAUCCAGAGAGGUGCGCAUUGGAUGCUGCCCCACCACGCGCAUUCAUGGGGAUUGACAGAUUUUCUCAUCUUCACUCGCUUUGUCGAGCUCAUGCUUCAUAAGCCCGGCGAGGGCUUCUUGUCCGGCGCCAUAGCCACCUUGCUCACGCCUGUGGUAAUUACUUAUACUUUUUACUAAUUUUUGCAUGCAGAAAUUUAUUUGUGAUUUUUUUUUCAUGUUUUAGCGAUGGGGUCUAAACAGGCUCGUGGAAAGCUUUAUUAAAUGGCAAAUGCCCCUGAAAAAAAUGAUAUGAUUCCCAAGCAAAGCUUCGUUAGAGAAGUAUCAUCUUGCCAGAUAAUCCUACUGCAGCCUCACUUCUUCGACAAAGUCGAAGAUGGGAGCAUUGUGAUGAGGAAAUCGCAGAAUUUCACCUUCUGCAAAGAGGGUCUAAUCCUCGAUGGAGAAGGUGUCCCGUUGCAAGUAGACAUUGUCAUCUUUGCAACGGGAUAUAAAGGCGACGAGAAGCUCAAGAGCAUGUUUGCUUCUCCCACUUUUCAAAACUAUAUUGAAGGAUCUCCAACCUCUACUAUCCCUCUAUACAGGUGGUUUUAAUUACUAUGCAAUCUAACAUAAAUUCAUUUUCUAUUGAAAUAUUUACCAAAAAAAAAAAAAUUAGCAGACAGAUAAUCCAUCCAAGAAUCCCACAGCUGGCUGUGAUAGGCUACUCGGAGUCGCUAUCGAAUAUUUUCUCAUUUGAAAUGAGGUGCAAAUGGCUGUCGCAUUUUCUGGAUGGGGCAUUCGCGUUGCCGAGCAUGGGAGCAAUGGAGAAGGAGAUCGAGGCGUGGGAGAAAUACAUGAAGAGGUAUGCAGGUAACAAGGAGUUUAGAAGGUCUUGCAUUGGUGGUGUUCCUAUUUGGUACAAUGAUCAAAUAUGCAAAGACAUUGGUUCUUCUCCAAGAAGAAAGAAGGGCUUUUUCUCAGAGUUGUUUGAGCCUUAUUAUGCCACAGACUACCGCAGGCUAUAAAGCAUAUGUCUAUGUUGGACUGUUAUUGACACUUGUGUUGAUAUUGGUUGGUAUAAUAGUAUUAUAGUAUAUGUACGACGCAUAAUUGCAUGAAUGUUAUUGAAAUAAGAGUAUAAAAUACACAUCUUUAUUGCAUAAUAAUUCGACCGUCUGUUUCUUUCAUGUGUUAGUGUUAUUGUCUUACUCAAGAGUCAAAAGGUUGGCAGAUAGAGCGGGCUACGAGUAGCUAAUUCAGGAAGUAAUCCAUUAUAUAUUUAUAGCAAUUAUUAUUGCUAUAAUAAUUAAUAACUGUAUCAUUUUUUCUGUUCCUAGAAAUUUCUAGAUUUUAUACUUUAGUUAAUUUAUCGAGGGUCAAUUGUUUUUUUUUCUUUUUUUCAUAUAUAUAAAUAAAAUUAAAGGCUACGUGAAACGUGAUGGUGGAAUCAAACUUAAGACGUUUGGUAUUGAACUUUUACAUGCACACCACGAAAGCCAACUACUAAUUAUUGUGGAGUUGUACUGUUCGAACAAUAAAUAAUAAUUUUUUACUUUAAUAUAUAACAUAUAGUAUACAGAAUGGUACCUUGUAAUAAAAUAUGGAAUAUAUUGAAAAAAUAUAUUUCUUCAGAAAUAAAAUAAAAUCAUGUGAGUUGUAUAUAAAAUCAGAUAGUUUCAUUGAGUUAAAUAAUACACCAUCCCUUUGCAAAAAUAAUGUUUUGCUAUUUUAAGCGUCCGUGAAAAGUAUGUCACCUCAUAUUUUUUUUCCUUAUUAUUUAUCCUUAUAAUUAUCUUUUAUUUACAAAAAUUCAAACAUUUAUUCAAUCUCAACCACUCAUUUCAUAUAAUGGUUGUACUAUAUAAAAAUUAGGGUAAAUUGCAUGAAAAUACUCGACCUUAUACCGAAAUUUGGUUUUUUGACGGGUAACAACAUUUAUCAACAUGUCUUCGUGGAAUUUUCUCUAAUUUUAAGUGUUUUGUUAUUCAAAUUAUCUGGGUAUGGUAUGAGUAACAUACAUUCUUGACGGGUACGAAUAUUUUAUCAACAUGUUUACCUAAAUUGUUUUUUUCUAAUUUAUAAUCUCUUAAUUUUGUAUAUGUAUGUUUAUUCUUCGAUAUUCGAGUCUUUAUUGAGACGGAUAACUAAUUAUUGUGAUAAAUUAUAUUUAUAAAUGUAAAUGUAUGGAUAUUUAACACAUAUUACUAUACAUUUUUGUGAUGAGAACAAAUAGUAAAAUCGUUAUUUACAUAGUAAAUUUAUUACUUUGAUAUAAAUAUUAUUUUAUUUAUUAUAAUUAUAAAUAUAAUUAAAAUAAUUACCCGUCGAAUUUUGACGGGUUACACACUAGUUAUACUACAUACAUUUUGUUGAUACGUGUAUAUUAAUUGACGAUUGACAUCACUCGAGUAAUCUUUAAUUCUACGUUGGUUUUAGAUUUUAAUUAGAGUUGGUUGAUAUUGCAGGAAGAGAUAAUCCGUGCACAAUGAUCCAUAGAAGAAUCCAUUGGAUGCUGCCCCACGACGCGCAGCCAUGGGGCUUGAGUUUAGGUUUUCUGUGCUUCACUCGCUUUGCUGAGCUCAUGGUUCACAAACCCGGCGAGGGCUUCUUGUCCAGCGCCGCCGCCGCCUCCCUCACCCCGCUCGUAAUUACUUUUUACUCUACCUAUAUAUAUGCAUGUCCAGAAAUUUAUCUCACACUUUUUUAAUUAAUUUCCACGUUUUAGCGGUGGGUUGUGAACAAGCUGGUGGAAAGCUAUCUUAAAUGGCGACUUCCCAUCACAAAAUACGAUAUGGUUCCGACGGAAAGCUUCGUCGGAGAAGCCUCCUCUUGCCAGAUACUUUUCCUGCAGCCUAACUUCUACGACAGAGUUGAAGAUGGGAGCAUUGUGAUGAGGAAAUCGCAGAAUUUCACCUUCUGCAAAGAGGGUCUAAUCCUCGACGGAGAAGAUCACGUCCCGUUGCAAGCCGACGUCGUCAUCUUUGCAACGGGAUAUAAAGGCGAUGAGAAGCUCAAGAACAUGUUCGCUUCCCCCACCUUUCAAAACUACGUUUUUGGAUCUCCAACCUCCAUUAUCCCUCUCUACAGGUAUAAAUUACUUCUCUACUUCAAUGUUGUAAGUAAUAAUAUAUUCUUCAAAUAAUUAAAUAUUGUUUUUAAUUGCAGACAGAUGAUUCAUCCAAGAAUCCCACAGCUGGCUGUGAUAGGCUACUCGGAGUCGCUGUCGAAUAUUUUCACAUUCGAAAUGAGGUGCAAAUGGCUGUCGCAUUUUCUGGAUGGGGGAUUCACGCUGCCGAGCAUGGGAGCGAUGGAGAAGGAGGUGGAGGCGUGGGAGAAAUACAUGAAGAGGUAUGCAGGUAACAAGGAGUUUAGAAGGUCUUGCAUUGGUGGUGUUCCUAUU
rnacentral:lncRNA from 1 species